AACGCUAGCUACAGGCUUAACACAUGCAAGUCGAGGGGCAUCGGGAGGAAAGCUUGCUUUCUUUGCCGGCGACCGGCGCACGGGUGAGUAACACGUAUCCAACCUGCCCUUUACUCGGGGAUAGCCUUUCGAAAGAAAGAUUAAUACCCGAUAGCAUAAUGAUUCCGCAUGGUUUCAUUAUUAAAGGAUUCCGGUAAAGGAUGGGGAUGCGUUCCAUUAGGUUGUUGGUGAGGUAACGGCCCACCAAGCCUUCGAUGGAUAGGGGUUCUGAGAGGAAGGUCCCCCACAUUGGAACUGAGACACGGUCCAAACUCCUACGGGAGGCAGCAGUGAGGAAUAUUGGUCAAUGGGCGCUAGCCUGAACCAGUCAAGUAGCGUGAAGGAUGAAGGCUCUAUGGGUCGUAAACUUCUUUUAUAUAAGAAUAAAGUGCAGUAUGUAUACUGUUUUGUAUGUAUUAUAUGAAUAAGGAUCGGCUAACUCCGUGCCAGCAGCCGCGGUAAUACGGAGGAUCCGAGCGUUAUCCGGAUUUAUUGGGUUUAAAGGGAGCGUAGGUGGACUGGUAAGUCAGUUGUGAAAGUUUGCGGCUCAACCGUAAAAUUGCAGUUGAUACUGUCAGUCUUGAGUACAGUAGAGGUGGGCGGAAUUCGUGGUGUAGCGGUGAAAUGCUUAGAUAUCACGAAGAACUCCGAUUGCGAAGGCAGCUCACUGGACUGCAACUGACACUGAUGCUCGAAAGUGUGGGUAUCAAACAGGAUUAGAUACCCUGGUAGUCCACACAGUAAACGAUGAAUACUCGCUGUUUGCGAUAUACAGUAAGCGGCCAAGCGAAAGCAUUAAGUAUUCCACCUGGGGAGUACGCCGGCAACGGUGAAACUCAAAGGAAUUGACGGGGGCCCGCACAAGCGGAGGAACAUGUGGUUUAAUUCGAUGAUACGCGAGGAACCUUACCCGGGCUUAAAUUGCAGUGGAAUGAUGUGGAAACAUGUCAGUGAGCAAUCACCGCUGUGAAGGUGCUGCAUGGUUGUCGUCAGCUCGUGCCGUGAGGUGUCGGCUUAAGUGCCAUAACGAGCGCAACCCUUAUCUUCAGUUACUAACAGGUCAUGCUGAGGACUCUGGAGAGACUGCCGUCGUAAGAUGUGAGGAAGGUGGGGAUGACGUCAAAUCAGCACGGCCCUUACGUCCGGGGCUACGCACGUGUUACAAUGGGGGGUACAGAAGGCAGCUAGCGGGUGACCGUAUGCUAAUCCCAAAAUCCUCUCUCAGUUCGGAUCGAAGUCUGCAACCCGACUUCGUGAAGCUGGAUUCGCUAGUAAUCGCGCAUCAGCCACGGCGCGGUGAAUACGUUCCCGGGCCUUGUACACACCGCCCGUCAAGCCAUGGGAGCCGGGGGUACCUGAAGUACGUAACCGCAAGGAUCGUCCUAGGGUAAAACUGGUGACU
rnacentral:rRNA from 1 species